rnacentral:rRNA from 1 species
UAGGGAAUAUUGGGCAAUGGAGGGAACUCUGACCCAGCCAUGCCGCGUGCAGGAUGAAGGCGUUAUGCGUUGUAAACUGCUUUUAUAUAGGAAGAAAUAGUCCUUGCGAGGAAAGUUGACGGUACUAUAUGAAUAAGCACCGGCUAACUCCGUGCCAGCAGCCGCGGUAAUACGGAGGGUGCAAGCGUUGUCCGGAUUUAUUGGGUUUAAAGGGUGCGUAGGCGGUUUAUUAAGUCAGUGGUGAAAGACGGUCGCUCAACGAUUGCAGUGCCAUUGAUACUGGUAGACUUGAGUAUGAUUGAGGUAGCUGGAAUGGAUAGUGUAGCGGUGAAAUGCAUAGAUAUUAUCCAGAACACCAAUUGCGUAGACAAGUUACUAAGUCAUAACUGACGCUGAGGCACGAAAGUGUGGGUAUCAAACAGGAUUAGAUACCCGAGUAGUCCCUGAGCGGGCUGGCAAGGCGCAU